rnacentral:tRNA from 1 species
AAGGAUUUAAGUUAAAAUAAACUAGUAACCUUCAAAGCUACAAAUAGAAUUAAAAUUCUAAGCCUUA